rnacentral:rRNA from 1 species
UACGUAGGGUGCGAGCGUUGUCCGGAAUUAUUGGGCGUAAAGAGCUUGUAGGCGGUUUGUCGCGUCUGCCGUGAAAAUUCGAGGCUCAACCUCGAACUUGCGGUGGGUACGGGCAGGCUAGAGUUCGGUAGGGGAGAUCGGAAUUCCUGGUGUAGCGGUGAAAUGCGCAGAUAUCAGGAGGAACACCGGUGGCGAAGGCGGAUCUCUGGGCCGAUACUGACGCUGAGGAGCGAAAGCGUGGGGAGCGAACAGG